AUGGCAGCUGCCAUGUCGAGGAGAGCGGUGGCCGUGGCCGCGGUGCUCGCCGCCGUCACCUCGCUGCUCGCCCCCGCCGCCGUGGCGCAGCUCUCGACGUCCUUCUACAGCGGCAGCUGCGCGAGCCUGGAGUCCAUUGUGAGGUCGGGCAUGGUGUCCGCCGUCCAGCAGGAGCCGCGCAUGGGCGCCUCCAUCCUCCGCCUCUUCUUCCACGACUGCUUCGUCAACGGCUGCGACGGCUCGGUGCUGCUGGACGACUCGGCGACGCUGACGGGGGAGAAGAACGCCGGGCCGAACGCCAACUCGCUGCGCGGCUUCGAGGUGAUCGACGCCAUCAAGUCCCGGGUCGACGCGGCGUGCCCCGGCACCGUGUCCUGCGCCGACAUCCUCGCCGUCGCCGCGCGCGACGGCGUUAACCUGCUGGGCGGGCCGUCGUGGGGGGUGCCGCUGGGCCGGCGGGACGCGCGCACGACGACUCAGGCAGCGGCGAACAGCAACCUGCCGUCGCCGUCGUCGAGCGCGGCCACGCUGAUCUCGGCGUUCGCGUCCAAGGGGCUGGACUCCCGCGACAUGGUGGCGCUGUCCGGCGCGCACACGAUCGGCGCGGCGCGGUGCGCGAGCUUCCGGUCGCGCGUGUACAACGACAGCAACAUCAACGCCGGGUUCGCGACGCGGCGGCGGCAGGUGUGCCCGGCGCAGGGCGGCGUGGGCGACGGCAACCUGGCCCCGCUGGACGCCUUCAGCUCCGUGCGCUUCGACAACGGCUACUUCCGGAACCUGCUGAGCCGCUUCGGCCUCCUUCACUCGGACCAGGAGCUCUUCAACGGCGGGCCCGUGGACUCCAUCGCGCAGCAGUACGCCGGCAACGGCGGCGCCUUCUCGGCCGACUUCGUCACCGCCAUGAUCAAGAUGGGCAACAUCAGCCCGCUCACCGGAUCCAACGGCGAGAUCCGCAACAACUGCCGGAAGCCCAACUAA
rnacentral:rRNA from 1 species